ACUUYUACUUGGGUUGCUGUUGUUGUUUGCUCUGACCAAGAUUGUCCUGCUGUUUCUGGCACUCCCUGAUGGCAACUCCAUGGUGGCAGUGCUGAAUUUCAAGGAACCCAGUGUGUAAGGUGCCCCUUUGCUGGCUCUGCAGGAGGAAUCAAGUUUCAUCAUUAUUCUACGCUAAAGGCUGAGUUUUUGAGCAUGCCAAUACAGCUGGAAUGACAUUGGCCUUCCUGCUUCAAGGACACAAAGGAUUAUCCUAAAACCUAGGACUCUGACCAACUCAGUGUUUCUGAGCAGCCCUUUGAUUGGUAAGAACCAAAUAUCUGACCAGUCUUCACUGCCACACUUAUUUACAGAGCCACUGAAGAGGAACACAAUAAUGUGGAGCAGUAAUUGGCAGUAAUUAACUCAGGAAUAACUGCUGACCUACUAGAUAUCACCAGGACAACUUCAGCACAAUCCCAGCACUUCAGUUGAUAAGGAGUCGUAGUCUCUCUUUGAGCUUUCAUUUCCUCUAGAGUUUUUUCUCCAACCGUGUGAAACACAAAGCACAUACAACAGCAUUUUGGAAACCAAAAUAUACUGUAUUCACUAUAGAAUAUGUGGAAUUUUAAUGGCUGGUAGAGUAGGAGUGAUGUAAGCAAGUAGCUCCUUGCAUGGAGGAAACAAAGAGCCUGGCUUUCAACAUUUUACUGUCUUAGUCUCUUUUUCUCCUUCUGCUCCUCAAGUCUUUGAUUGCUUGAGAAUGAGUGACCUUAUUAGUCUCUUCCUCACUGGAGAACUUCCUGUCCUUUGGCUUGCUGCCUGUUUUCAUGAAACCUGCAGAAUCUUUGGGAAAUUUGAUUGAAAUUCAGUGAUGGAUUCAGAAUGCAGAAUAUCACCUUGUACGUACAUGUAUAGUAUCAAGGAUCACAUAAAUGCGGUUUCAGUGGGAAAUCAAGCUAAAAUCCUGCCACACAGUGAGAUGUCUCUGCGAUCUCAUUCUUUGAAAUAAGACAGUGAAGGUAUAACAAAGGAAAUAAAUGUCUUCUCCCUAAAUGGAAAACAAACACAAAAUGUCAACUGAGACCAAAAUACAGCCUUUUCAUUCAUUAACUGAAUAGCAUGGGUAUGGAAGUCACGUGGUGACACUAAACAUGCCACCUCACAAUGCUCUYGAGUGUUCCUGCCGUGUAGUAAUAUAAAGUAAUAUAAAAUAAUGUAAAUUCUAACAUAACAAUUUAAAAUAAUUAUAAAAUAAUUUGGAUUACUCACUUUUGUGGUGGGUAUUAGAAUGGAGCAUGAGUGCUGKAAUUAUCUGCACCUCUGCCCAAGGCCAUGGUCCUUCAUACCCACAAAAGACCUGGGCUCAAUCUCAUCCUUAUUUUCUGACAGUCUUAUUUAGUUUAAUAAUGAAUUUGGGACAGGGCUUCAAUGAAAGAUGCUAUGUAAUAUCCUGCGAAGUUCUGAGUGACCCCAGUGAGGGUUUGAUGAUGUCUUUGAUGAAAGAGCCCAGCCUAUGUAAAAAUCUUUCUUGAUUAGUGAAGUCAGCUGCUGUUGGAAUGAUUGGGGUGGAUUUAUUUCUUCUUUUAAAUUCAAAUUACCUCCAAAUAAGUUUUCAAGGCACUUCCUACAGAUUAAAGGAUGGGAGGAAUGUGACUCAGAAUAUUUCAGUGGAAGGUUUUCCUCAGAAAUCUAAUCAUUUGGGAUUCUGGCUCUGUUGAAUGAGUUAGCUGAACAGGUAGAGAACUUUAGGCUGCAAUAUAUGACACAAAAUGUUUCUAAACACAGUCAAUAUUCCACAGAAACCAGUGCUCACUGAGGGCCUGCUGUGCCUGUUGUCAAGUAGCACUUGGGAUCUUGGAAGUAAGAUCUGUUCUUCCUGGUCCCUCAUCUGACAUUCUGCCUUCCUCUUGUAAAAGCCAGAAGGAGUUUUGCCACAGAUGUCCAGGGAGAAGGUGAGGCUCAGUAGUGCUUAGAAAACCUCCUAGUCKGACUGAUGUGGUUGACAGCCAGCAGCAACCUCGGUCUCCUGUGUCCAGAGCCUCGACAGGGUGGCCAGGGCUUUUCCAGAUGUGACACCUGAUCAUAGAAUCCUGGAAUUGUUAUGGUUGGAAAAGACCUUCAAGAUCAUGAAGCCCAACUGUAAACCUGUCACUGCCCUGCCUGCUAAACCCUGUCCCUGAGUGCCUCAUCUAUGGGUUUUUUGAACACUGCCGGGAAUGGGGACCCACCACUGCCCUCAGCAAGAUCCCAAUGUCUUAUCCAGUAUCUGAAAACAAGGAAGAUUCUUGGCAAGCAUCGGGAAAGUGUGGUGGCAGAGAAGCUGGGAAGAGAGGCAAAAGCAGAAGAGAGAGAAGGGCAGCYUGAUAUCUUCAAGAGAGAAGACCGGCAAUGCAAGAUCAGGGAGUUCUGCAAGACCUUAAAAGGGAUCAGCAGAUGUCUUGCUUCUUGAGGGACCUGCAUAUCCUAAAGCAUCACAAAUCUCAGACUCAUCGAAUUUACAUUUUUUGGAAAGUCAGAGCUAUAAAUACAUCAUUAGAUGAUGCCCUUUAGUCUCUUGGUUUAUUUUCUUUAAAGGAAAGGCUUAGCAAGAGGCACCCUUUUCACUAAUCUGGCGUGAAACUGAAAGAUUUGAGAAGAAGAGAGGGCUACAUUUAAAAAAAGUAAUAAACACAUCUGUAGGCUUGGGCUGCCCUGUAUAGUAGAAAUAUUGAGUACAUUUUUGAAUGUUCAAAAAGAGGGAACAUUUUUUCUGUCAUAAAAUUCUCUUGCAUCAGUUUAAGCACAUUUUAUGAACUGACUUGAGGGCUCUAUGUAAAUCUGCUCAGGAUUCUGAGAAAGGAGAGGGUUAUUAAUCUGGAAAAAGUGUCUUUGCUUAGAGCCAACUUCGGAAUCUAUUUAAAACAGGAAUUUUUAACAAGUGAAGAAUAUUCCCUGAGUUACCCUUAGAUUAGCUUCCUUUUAUGGGUACUGGGCAGAGCCAGUAGAAUUUUACUCCUGGUAAAAAGUUUUUACAUCCCUGAGCAGAUAUUAAACAUGAUCAGCAUAACAUCAAUGCAUUUGAUGAGAUUCAGCCCACAUAGUUCAUUCCUCYAAAGGCAAUAGAGGUUUUGCCA